CACGUAGGGGGCAAGCGUUGUCCGGAUUUAUUGGGCGUAAAGAGCUCGUAGGCGGUUCGCUAAGUCGGGUGUGAAAACUCUGGGCUCAACUCAGAGACGCCACCCGAUAAUGGCGUGACUCGAGUCCGGUAGGGGAGCAUGGAAUUCCUGGUGUAGCGGUGAAAUGCGUAGAUAUCGGGAGGAACACCAGUGGCGAAGGCGGCUUCCUGGCCUGUUCCUGACGCUGAGGCGCGAAAGCUAGGGGAGCAAACGGG
rnacentral:rRNA from 1 species